CUGAAUCUUUUUUCAGAGUGACGGGCGAUUUGUACAUUCUUCAAGUAAGUUUCAAAAAAAAAUAAAAUUAUUCUCUUAUUCCUGAGUUCUUAUAUAUAAUGCAUGCACAUUAAUUUAACUACUAUGAUCCAUGGAAAUCUAUCAUAUUAUCUUUGUAUUGAUUUAUUUUACACUCUAAAGGGGAGGUGUGAAAAGUAAAAAAAUAUUUUCUUCUUUUUUACAAUAAAAAUAUAAAAAAUUAAACUAAUAGUAGUUAGAAUAACGUGGGGUAUCUAUCACACCACAGAACCCCCCAGUCUUAUGAAAAACCGCCGAACCUUUUAAGUUUCUUUUUGUAAAUUACUACUUUUUAUUUUAUUAAAG
rnacentral:rRNA from 1 species